GCCAGCAUGGAGUAAUGGUUUUAGCAUUGGACUAAGGCUCUGGAGACCAGAGUUCGAAUCCCUGCUUGGCC